rnacentral:tRNA from 1 species
GGUAAAAUGACUGAAUUUAGGUGAUAAAUUGUAAAUUUAUUUAUGGAAAUUUCCUUUUGCUA